ensembl:lncRNA
UUUUUUUACUUCAUUGGCGCCAUUAAAGUUGACGGCAAUAUUUUUUUCAUAGGGAACAACUCCUCCUUCUGAGUUGGGGAUUCGUCACAUGGUAAUUUGUUUGUUCAUCUCAAGAGCUGGCCGUCGGACAUGCAAAUCAAAAAGCCCUGAUAUUUCCAUUCCUCACGAGCCUACACAUUAUCACAUUUUAUUAUCUUAUGUAGAUUAUAUCUGCAUUUUUCACAUACAGAUGGAGGAAUAAGGGAGGUAUCACAUACAGAUGGAGGAGUAAGGGAGGUAUCACAUACAGAUGGAGGAGUAAGGGAGGUAUCACAUACAGAUGGAGGAGUAAGGGAGGUAUCACAUACAGAUGGAGGAGUA